UUCCAGUAAACUAACUAUGUUACGACUUACCUCCUCUUUAGAAGAGGGUGACGGGCGAUAUGUACACCUAAAUUCAAUUUCGUUCUUAAUUUUUAUUAAAAAACUACUUCCAAAUCCUCUUUCAAUUUUUCUUUAGAAUAAAAUCCUUUAAUUUAUUUAAUGAGUAAUUAGUUUUUGUCUUUACCAUAAUCUUCACCUUGACCUGACUUACGAAAAAAUGUUAGGGUAAAAUUUUUAUAUUUUGCCUUUAGACGGCGGUAUAAAAGAGUAGGGAUAAAGAGAAAAUAAGCGGGGAAAGUCGAGAUAAAACAAAUUCCUCUGGGUAGAAAAAAGGCCGCCAAAAAGUAUGGGUUUAAAGGAAU
rnacentral:rRNA from 1 species